rnacentral:rRNA from 1 species
GGGUUGUGAGGUUAAGCGACUAAGCGUACACGGUGGAUGCCCUGGCAGUCAGAGGCGAUGAAGGACGUGCUAAUCUGCGAUAAGCGUCGGUAAGGUGAUAUGAACCGUUAUAACCGGCGAUUUCCGAAUGGGGAAACCCAGUGUGUUUCGACACACUAUCAUUAACUGAAUCCAUAGGUUAAUGAGGCGAACCGGGGGAACUGAAACAUCUAAGUACCCCGAGGAAAAGAAAUCAACCGAGAUUCCCCCAGUAGCGGCGAGCGAACGGGGAGGAGCCCAGAGCCUGAAUCAGUGUGUGUGUUAGUGGAAGCGUCUGGAAAGGCGCGCGAUACAGGGUGACAGCCCCGUACACAAAAAUGCACAUACUGUGAGCUCGAUGAGUAGGGCGGGACACGUGGUAUCCUGUCUGAAUAUGGGGGGACCAUCCUCCAAGGCUAAAUACUCCUGACUGACCGAUAGUGAACCAGUACCGUGA